rnacentral:rRNA from 1 species
UCCUACGGGGCGCAGCAGUAGGGAAUUUUCGUCAAUGGGCGCAAGCCUGAACGAGCAAUGCCGCGUGAACGAGGAAGGUCUUCGGAUCGUAAAGUUCUGUUGAAGGGGAAAAAGAGCGGAGAGAGGAAAUGGUCUCCGAUUGAUAUUACCCUUCGAGGAAGUCACGGCUAACUACGUGCCAGCAGCCGCGGUAAUACGUAGGUGGCGAGCGUUAUCCGGAAUGAUUGGGCGUAAAGGGUGCGUAGGCGGCCUGCUAAGUCUGGAGUGAAAGACACCGGCUCAACCGGUACAGGAUCUGGAAACUG